CAAGUCGAACGGGAAUCUUCGGAUUCUAGUGGCGGACGGGUGAGUAACGCGUAAGAAUCUAACUUCAGGACGGGGACAACAGUUGGAAACGACUGCUAAUACCCGAUAUGCCGCGAGGUGAAACCUAAUUGGCCUGAAGAAGAGCUUGCGUCUGAUUAGCUAGUUGGUGGGGUAAGAGCCUACCAAGGCGACGAUCAGUAGCUGGUCUGAGAGGAUGAGCAGCCACACUGGGACUGAGACACGGCCCAGACUCCUACGGGAGGCAGCAGUGGGGAAUUUUCCGCAAUGGGCGAAAGCCUGACGGAGCAACGCCGCGUGAGGGAGGAAGGUCUUUGGAUUGUAAACCUCUUUUCUCAAGGAAGAAGUUCUGACGGUACUUGAGGAAUCAGCCUCGGCUAACUCCGUGCCAGCAGCCGCGGUAAUACGGAGGAGGCAAGCGUUAUCCGGAAUUAUUGGGCGUAAAGCGUCCGCAGGUGGUCAGCCAAGUCUGCUGUCAAAUCAGGUUGCUUAACGACCUAAAGGCGGUGGAAACUGGCAGACUAGAGAGCAGUAGGGGUAGCAGGAAUUCCCAGUGUAGCGGUGAAAUGCGUAGAGAUUGGGAAGAACAUCGGUGGCGAAAGCGUGCUACUGGGCUGUAUCUGACACUCAGGGACGAAAGCUAGGGGAGCGAAAGGGAUUAGAUACCCCUGUAGUCCUAGCCGUAAACGAUGGAUACUAGGCGUGGCUUGUAUCGACCCGAGCCGUGCCGAAGCUAACGCGUUAAGUAUCCCGCCUGGGGAGUACGCACGCAAGUGUGAAACUCAAAGGAAUUGACGG
rnacentral:rRNA from 1 species